rnacentral:rRNA from 1 species
AUUGAACGCUGGCGGCAGGCUUAACACAUGCAAGUCGAGCGGGGAAAAGUAGCUUGCUACUGGACCUAGCGGCGGACGGGUGAGUAAUGCUUAGGAAUCUGCCUAUUAGUGGGGGACAACAUCUCGAAAGGGAUGCUAAUACCGCAUACGUCCUACGGGAGAAAGCAGGGGACCUUCGGGCCUUGCGCUAAUAGAUGAGCCUAAGUCGGAUUAGCUAGUUGGUGGGGUAAAGGCCUACCAAGGCGACGAUCUGUAGCGGGCCUGAGAGGAUGAUCCGCCACACUGGGACUGAGACACGGCCCAGACUCCUACGGGAGGCAGCAGUGGGGAAUUGUUCGCAAUGGGCGCAAGCCUGACGACGCAACGCCGCGUGGAGGAUGAAGAUCUUCGGGUCGUAAACUCCUUUCGAUCGAGACGAACGGCCCUGGGGUGAACAAUCCCGGGGAGUGACGGUACCGAGAGAAGAAGCCCCGGCUAACUCCGUGCCAGCAGCCGCCGCUGUAA